rnacentral:tRNA from 42 species
GGACGCUUAGCUCAGCUGGGAGAGCAUCUGCCUUACAAGCAGGAGGUCACAGGUUCGAUCCCUGUAGCGUCCA